GCGGGAGUUGGGCGGGCACCGGGCCGGUCUCGCCGAUGCCGGGGCCCGGGCCGUCCGGAGCCGCCAGCGCCGGGUCCGACUCCAGGAUCCCGGUG
rnacentral:tRNA from 3 species